AUGCCAUGGUGAGGACAUUGCAUUAAUAGUUCUUUGAAUCUCUCCCAAGAAUCAAACAAAGACUCGUCAUCUUCUUGUCUAAAUGAAGUAAUCUCAUUUCUCAUCUU